rfam:Botryobasidium botryosum FD-172 SS1 unplaced genomic scaffold BOTBOscaffold_108, whole genome shotgun sequence.
AGCAAGAUGGCGCAGUGGAAGCGCGCGGGGCUCAUAACCCCGAGGUCGAAGGAUCGAAACCUUCUCUUGCUA